rnacentral:rRNA from 1 species
ACGAACGCUGGCGGCGUGCUUAACACAUGCAAGUCGAACGAGGUGCAGCGAGUUGAAGCUUCGGCGGAAACAUGCUGUUACCGAGUGGCGGACGGGUGAGUAACGCGUGAGCAACCUGCCCUGCAACGGGGGACAACAGUUGGAAACGACUGCUAAUACCGCAUGAGACCACGGUUUCGCAUGGAACUGAGGUAAAAGGAUUUAUUCGAUGCAGGAUGGGCUCGCGUCCCAUUAGAUAGUUGGUGAGGUAACGGCUCACCAAGUCAACGAUGGGUAGCCGACCUGAGAGGGUGAUCGGCCACACUGGAACUGAGACACGGUCCAGACUCCUACGGGAGGCAGCAGUGGGGAAUAUUGGGCAAUGGGCGAAAGCCUGACCCAGCAACGCCGCGUGAGGGAAGAAGGUCUUCGGAUUGUAAACCUUUGUCCUAUGGGACGAAACAAAUGACGGUACCAUAGGAGGAAGCUCCGGCUAACUACGUGCCAGCAGCCGCGGUAAUACGUAGGGAGCAAGCGUUGUCCGGAAUUACUGGGCGUAAAGGGUGCGUAGGUGGCCAUGUAAGUUAGGUGUGAAAGACCGGGGCUUAACCCCGGGGCGGCACUUAAAACUGUGUGGCUUGAGUACAGGAGAGGGAAGUGGAAUUCCUAGUGUAGCGGUGAAAUGCGUAGAUAUUAGGAGGAACACCAGUGGCGAAGGCGACUUUCUGGACUGUAACUGACACUGAGGCACGAAAGCGUGGGGAGCAAACAGGAUUAGAUACCCUGGUAGUCCACGCCGUAAACGAUGGAUACUAGGUGUGGGGCCCGAUAGGGUUCCGUGCCGAAGCAAACGCAUUAAGUAUCCCGCCUGGGGAGUACGAUCGCAAGGUUGAAACUCAAAGGAAUUGACGGGGGCCCGCACAAGCAGCGGAGCAUGUGGUUUAAUUCGAAGCAACGCGAAGAACCUUACCAAGGCUUGACAUCCUCUGACGACUGUAGAGAUACAGUUUCCCUUCGGGGCAGAGAGACAGGUGGUGCAUGGUUGUCGUCAGCUCGUGUCGUGAGAUGUUGGGUUAAGUCCCGCAACGAGCGCAACCCUUAUGGUCAGUUACUACGCAAGAGGACUCUGGCCAGACUGCCGUUGACAAAACGGAGGAAGGUGGGGAUGACGUCAAAUCAUCAUGCCCCUUAUGGCCUGGGCUACACACGUACUACAAUGGGUGUCAACAAAGAGAAGCGAACCCGCGAGGGAGAGCAAAGCUCAAAAACACACCCCCAGUUCAGAUCGCAGGCUGCAACCCGCCUGCGUGAAGUAGGAAUCGCUAGUAAUCGCGGGUCAGCAUACCGCGGUGAAUACGUUCCCGGGCCUUGUACACACCGCCCGUCACACCAUGGGAGUUGGUAACGCCCGAAGUCAGUGACCCAACCGUAAGGAGGGAGCUGCCGAAGGUGGGACCGAUAACUGGGGUG